UACGUAGGGUGCGAGCGUUAAUCGGAAUUACUGGGCGUAAAGCGUGCGCAGGCGGUUCGUUAAGUUCGAUGUGAAAGCCCCGGGCUCAACCUGGGAACUGCAUUGGAAACUGGCGAGCUUGAAUGCGGCAGAGGGGGGUGGAAUUCCGCGUGUAGCAGUGAAAUGCGUAGAGAUGCGGAGGAACACCGAUGGCGAAGGCGGCGACCUGGACAGAUACUGACACUCAACUGCGAAAGCGUGGGGAGCAAACAGG
rnacentral:rRNA from 1 species